AACGAACGCUGGCGGCGCGCCUAAUACAUGCAAGUCGAGCGAGAAGGUGUAGCAAUACACUUGUAAAGCGGCGAACGGGUGAGGAAUACAUGGGUAAUCUACCAUCGAGUGGGGAAUAACCAGCCGAAAGGUUGGCUAAUACCGCGUACGCCUCCGGAUCUUCGGGUUCGGAGGGAAAGCCACACUGUGAGUGCGGCGCUCUUUGAUGAGCUCAUGUCCUAUCAGCUUGUUGGUAGGGUAACGGCCUACCAAGGCUUUGACGGGUAGCUGGUCUGAGAGGACGAUCAGCCACACUGGCACUGCGACACGGGCCAGACUCCUACGGGAGGCAGCAGUAAGGAAUAUUGCGCAAUGGGCGAAAGCCUGACGCAGCGACGCCGCGUGGGGGAGUGAAGGUCUUCGGAUUGUAAACCCCUUUCGGUAGGGAAGAUGGAGCGAGCAAUCGUUCGGACGGUACCGUCCAGAAGCAGCCACGGCCAACUUCGUGCCAGCAGCCGCGGUAAUACGAAGGUGGC
rnacentral:rRNA from 1 species